rnacentral:rRNA from 1 species
GAAUAAAAAUAAUUAUUUUAUUAAAAAAUUUUUAAUUUAAUUAAAGAAAGAAGUUAAAGAUUUAUUAUGUUUAAGAAAAAUAAUUAUUUAUUAUAGUAAAUUUGUAUUGUAAGAGAUGUUUUUAUAUAUUAAAAAGAAAAAUUUAUAUUUUGUACCUCGUGUAUCAGGGUUUAUUAAAAUAAAUUUAUAUAUUUAAUAUUCUCGAAUUUAAAUGAGUUAAUUUAUUAUUUAUUUUAAUGUAGAAUAAUUAUUUAAAAUAAUAAAUUAGUAAUGAAACGUUAUUCGUAUUUAAAUAUAUCUAGUUUUUAAAGAAAAAAAUUUAAUUUUUUUUAAAAUAUAGCUUUUAUUAAAUUUUUAAUAAGAUUUUAUUUUAAUAAAAUUUUAAAGGGGAUAAGCUUUUUAAAAAAAAAUAUAUAAUUUAAAAAAAGAUGAAUAAAAUAUAAAAUUAAAAAUAUUUAAAGUUAAUAAAAUGUUAUAAUAUAAUUAUUAGUAAAAUUAAUUUUUUAUAGAAUUUAUAUAAUAUAUUUAAAAAAUUUUAUUAAUUUAAUUAAAAAUGAUAUAAUGAUAAAAUUAGUAAAAAUUAAAUUAAAGUAUUAAAAAAAAAUAAAAUAAAUUUAAGGAAUUCGGCAAAUCUUUUUUUCACCUGUUUAUUAAAAACAUGGCUUUUUGAAAAUAAUUUAAAGUCUAAUCUGCCCACUGAUAAAUUUAAAUGGCCGCAGUAUUUUGACUGUGCUAAGGUAGCAUAAUAAAUAGUUUUUUAAUUGGAAGCUGGUAUGAAUGAUUGGAUGAAAUAAAAACUGUCUUAAAGUUAAAAAUUGAAUUUUAUUUUUAAGUAAAAAAGCUUAAAUAACAUUAAAAGACGAGAAGACCCUAUAGAGUUUUAUAUUUAGUUAUAUUAUCAUAGUUUAAUAUAAUUUAUUUUAAUUUAAUUAAAUAUUUUAUUGGGGUGAUAGAAAAAUUUAAUAAACUUUUUUUAAUUUUAAACAUUAAUUUAUGAUUAAUUGAUCCAUUAUUAGUGAUUAUAAGAAAAAAUUACCUUAGGGAUAACAGCGUAAUUAUUUUUAAGAGUUCUUAUCAAAAAAAUAGAUUGCGACCUCGAUGUUGGAUUAAAGUUAGUUUUUGGUGUAGAAGCUAAAAUUUUAAGUCUGUUCGACUUUUAAAUCUUU